rnacentral:tRNA from 1 species
ACCUAUCUGGUUCAGUGGGCAGAACAUGAGACUCUUGAUCUCUGGUAGUGACUUCGAGUCCCACUUUGGGUA